GGCUGCAUUCUGGCCUCUGUGUGAUCCUCAGGCAGUGAACUGAGCUGCAGGCUGGGCAGCUGAAGGUCUGACCAAGACCAUGUUGCAGUUCCCAGGGGGUGGCUCUUCCACCAACCCUACCCAGGCAGGACCCCUAGCCCACCCUAUUCCAGAAAUGUCCCAAGCAGAGCCUCUUGAGGUCUGUCCUGAGGAGGCAGCUGGAGGCAAGGGGCAUGCCUUCCUGUUCCGGCUGCGCAGCCAGCGAACUCUACGGUUCAGCCACAGUCAUGUAUCUAGGGCCUGGGGGUCUGACAUGUGGACAGGAAGAGAAAUCCCACAUGGAGCCAGACUCUGGGGCUUAUGAGGAAGCAAGGGCCAGAUUAUGAACAAAGCACACACGUGGGGCUGCCAUUUCAGUCAGGUCGUGCUGACAUCUGAGGGCAACUGCAGGAGAUUCUUCCUGAAAAUUUAUGUUGCUGGAUGAGGAAACAAAGUCGAGUAAUGAAGUAACUUUCCUGGUGCAGAGGCCCAGAUUGGAAUUCCAAUAAAUUUGACUAUAUCUAUGUAAA
rnacentral:lncRNA from 1 species